GGCCUGAUGUUUGCUCGCUCUGAUGCAUGCUCUCCCUCUUCCGGUGCCCAGUAGCAGCAGCCCAGGCUCACAUGCUAAAACAUGGUGCGUAUUCGAUGGAGUGCUUUUGCUUCUUGUACAAAUAUUACAUGUAUCUAGACGUUUUUUAAAAUAGAUACGUCCAUUUUUAGACAAAUUUAAGACAAGAAUUAUGAAACAUAUGUAGUAACUUAUAAACAUGUGACGGGUAUGUUUUCAUUCGAUUCGAAGAAAAGAUUUUUUUUUCUUUCCUUUUCCGCUUCAUGUAGCAAUCACGCUGCAUCCGGCGAGCGUUCAAUCAAUGAUCUAUCUAUCAGGCGAUCCACUGGAGGGUUGCCGCAUGCGGCCGUCCGUCUCCUGCUGCCCAUCAUUUUGUUGAGGAACCGGCCGGGGGUGGUGGUCCGCGGCGGCGUACGUCACACUUGUCACGCCGGUCCGGCGUCGGUGACCCACGGGCACGAGCACGGACCACGGCCUCGGCAAUUAUUGAAGCC
rnacentral:lncRNA from 1 species